rnacentral:lncRNA from 1 species
GUUUGGGAGAAAUUGGAGAGUCGUUAUAUGUCAAAGUCUCUCACGAACAAACUGCAUCUAAAGCAGCGGCUGUAUGGGCUAAAGAUGUUGGAGGGUACGGAUCUGAUUCAACACACCAAUGUGUUCAAUUAGAUCAUCAGCGAUCUAUUGAGGCUUGAAAUCAAGUUUGAUGAUGAAGACAAGGCAAUGAUUUUGUUGUGCUCACUGCCUCCUUCGUACGACCAUCUGGUGACCACGUUGACGUGGGGUAAAGAGACUCUCGAAUUGGAGGAAGUCACAUCAGCCCUGUUAGCCUACAACCAGCGAAAACUGCGUACUGGUGAAACUUCACAGGGUGAAGGGUUGAUCGUAAAGGGCUACCAGGAUCGUGGGAGAAGGAAGGACAGGGGUGUUUCUCUUAGAGGGAACACAAGAUCAAAAUCUAGAAAUCAAAAUAAGAAAAACGUGAAGUGCUACAAAUGCCAUCAGAUGGGCCACUUUAAGAGAGACUGUCCUAAUAAGAAGCAGAAUGAUGAAAGGAAAGGUGAUGGGUCCUCAAACUCAGCUAGUGUUGCAGAAGGAGACUCGGAUUCUGGAGAUGGAGAUAUGUUAUCAGUCUCUGCAGGUAAUUCUGUAAAAUUAAAUGACUGUUGGGUACUUGAUUCAGCCUGUUCAUAUCACAUGUGUCCUCACCGGGAUUGGUUUCAUUCAUAUCGUUCUGGAAAUUUUGGAUCUGUUCUGAUGGGUAAUGAUGCAUCAUGUAAGGUCAUUGGAAUGGGGUC